UCCUCUUAAACUCUCCAAGCUCUGAAACUCUCUACACUUCUGAUACUCACGUGACCAUACAAACCUCAUGCGCCGCUGCCUAAACAGACUGACUGGUCAUGUCUUUUGUAGACGUCACGAGAGUAGCGCUUAAAACAUCAAUGGGGGUAGUGUAAUUAAG